GCCGGCGCCCGUUCGGGGUCGGCAAGGUCAAGGAGCGCCGCAUCCUUGGCGCUCCUCGUACCCAUGUUGCUCAGUUAUGGAGGAUGUGGCUAUGAGAA
rnacentral:sRNA from 1 species